UGACUAUAGCCAAAUCAAAUAGUUGAGAAGCUUACUGGCCGCCUGUUGUGAUUUUUCUCUUUGAGGAGCUUCGCACAUUU